CUUCUCUUUCUUUAUAUAGGCGACACUGGUGGGGCUCGGGGGUUAUCUCAAUUAGUUUAGGAUUCUGUUUUCUGUACCGAUCACAUAAAAAACAAAUUUAUCUCUUAGUUUGUUUCUUGUCAGGAUAAGGAAACCGAUGGUUUAGAUCCUCUCCUAACCCUUAUCGACACAAGUCGACAAAAUCAACCAACAUUCUCCCCUUGAUUUUGAGACUUACUUACGAGUUUAUUAAAUAAAAUAGCUCCCCAAGGCAAUGUGUCUUCAACAACAUUAUGCGUCACUGAGACAACAAGACCUAUAGCUCACUAUAGUACUCAAAUAAACUCAAGCUUAACUUAGUGGGUGUUGAUUGAAAAAUUUAGUCCCCCUCAUCCAGGAUCUCAGUAAGGCUCUAAUUUACAUAUAUACUGGCCAGAACAUAAUCUUAAUUAAUCUUAAUUUUAUGAGCCUUUAGAGUAUGGAUCCAUUAGCAAAUGCUUAGCUUAAUAAUUCGAUCCUGGGACAUGUCUUUCACAACCAUAUCAAUGUGUUAGGCAGAAAACACACAAUAUGUUGCUACUAGAAUAGAAAACUGUGUUUAAUUAGUGCACAACUUCACUAAAAUCAAUCCAAGGGAAAGAAUAUCUCCAACUUAUGAGACGUUCUAACCUCCCCUAGAAAUGUGACAUCAAUUACAAUGUCACAAUUUCAAUGAUGUCUCAUCUUUUGUCAUUACAGGCAAUUAUUAUAAUAGUCACAUGAUCAUCCAAAAGAACAAAUAUGACUGUCGUGCACAAGGACAAGACCAAUCACUUUAUUAUCACACUUAAUGUAUCAUGUUCUAUUUGGUAAAAUAACGGACAUGACCCGUUUCUCAUAUGAAUUUAAAAAAUUAAACUAGUAAAGUUUCUCUUAAUAGAGUGAACAAAUAAGACAUUAUUGCAAUUGCUGUGAAACUAAGUGUGAGGUCUCCAACAACACUUCACUUUCAUCUUCACUCCAUCAGUUACUCUGAGUGUUCACUCCCCUCUUUGCUACCGUUUGGACGGUGCGAGUUUCCUGUAAUGAGUUAGAAACAUGCACAUCGGCAUUGAGUCAAACUCACUAAGUAUUAAGGGAAAAUUCAUCACAAGGGAUUUAUUUAAUUUCAUUUAUACCUUUCUUGACUAACCACGCUGUGAAGCGUGUGCAAUUUCUCUGCCAAUGUCCAUCUGACGCACAGAAGUGGCAGUAGGGACUUGUACUUAAAGGAACAGCUGAAGUGGAGGCCUUGAUCCCUUCUUGCUUCUGCUCACCCUCUGGCUCACUAUUCUUAUUAGAGGAUUCCCCUUGAUAGACCUUUUUGCCUUUAUCAAAGGCAUUAGUGAGGUUGAGCCGGUCUUUAAUCUUCUGCUUUUCAGCUUUCUGGCGCUCUUCCUCUUCCACGGAGUGUAAGAUCAAUUCUUGUAUGGUCCACUCCUCUUUCUGAGUAUUAUAUUUUGUUUUGAAUGGAUCAUAGUUAGGACCAAGAGAUCUCAUGAUGAUGUGCACUAAAAAUCCAUCAGAUAUUUUCAUAUCCAUGGAUCUGAGUUGAUUUGCCAUAUGAGUCAUCUCAAGGAUGUGCUUCCUUAUACCACUUUUGCCAUUGUAAUGACUAGUGAUCAUCUCAUUUACAAGCAUAUUGGCAUGAGUGUCAGGUGCAAAUUCAAAACUUUCUUCAAUGUUUGCCAGAUACAUCUUAAUGUCAUUAUAGUCAAUGAUUCCUCCAAUAACUUCUGGAGAGAUGGCACCCUUGACAUAAAUUAAGCACAUUCUGUUGGACUUCUCCCAGUUGGCUAACUUCUUAUUGUAGGCCCACAUGAGAUUAUCAUAUUCUUCCUCAAUUAUAUUGAGUUCUUCGGCCAGUUGAGGUUCCUAGGGAGGAUCCUCUCUUAUGGCUAAGUCAUAAUCCAACAUGGCUAAGUUAAUAAGCACAUUAUUUCUCCAUUCAACAUUCAACGUAAUUUGAUCCAUCACGAAGCUGAAUAGCCUUAAGUUGUCCUAAUGCUGAAAAAUUAAUUAUUAAUUAAACAUUAGUAAUGCAAUUAAUUUCCAUUGGCUUAAUUAAUCACAUACAAAUAAAUCUUAAUUUUCAUAAUCAAACACCAUAGGGUAGAAAAGAUUAUGAAAUGGCAGAGAAUAAUGAAUUACUGAAAAUUAAUAUCCUAAAUCAAAUUACCAAAAUCAGGUAGAUAUGAUAUAGGGCAUAAUGCUAUUAGUAAAUGACAUGAAAUUAAAGUCCUUAGCCAUAUCACCGUUGGGCAGAAAUGGUAAAGGAAUUAAGCUUAGUAACAAAUUAGAGAUCAUUGAUCAUAUCACCGUAAGGCACGAGUGACGGAGGAAUUAAUGCACUAGUGGCAUAAGUAAAAUUCUAAGUCAUAUCACCGUAAAGGCCAAAAUGACAAAGAAAAUGAAAAUAAUGAUUGACGAUACUUAGAUGUUUCCUUAAUUACAUCACCGUUGGGCAGAAAUAAUUAAGGAAAUAACAAUCUUAAUGAAAUCAUCUUUCUUUCUAGAUAAACUUCCCGUUGGUUCCAUUAAUCUAGAAAUAAAUUACUCAGUAUUGCAACUGAUCUUAAAUAAUAAGCAUUGCCAAUUGCAUAAAGUUAAUUUACAUUGGCUUAAUCGAUCAUAUGCAAAAUAAACUUAAAAUUUCAUAGUCAAAGCACCAUUGGUCAUAAAUAAUUAUGAAUAAUCUUAAAAUUAAUUCCUCAAUUAUAUCACCGUUUGGUAGAAAAUAACUAAGGAAUAAAAAAUUAUAAUUGACACGCAAUUAUAAUAAAGUGGGUUAAAUAUAACUUCACAUCUUAAUGCUUUCUAGUCGAAUUUCUCGUUGGUUCCAUUCGACUAUAAAUAAUUAAUAUACUAAGGAAAUGACCAUCAUAAUGAUGUUGACAUGAAAUCAUAAAUACUUUCUAGUUAAAUUUCCAUUCAACUAGAAAUAAAUUAAGUGGCUUAAGGAAAUAAUAAUCUUAAUAAAUAUUGACAUGAAAUUAUAUUAACAUUGGUCAAAUAUAAUAUCAUAUCAUUAAUUUCUUUCUAGCCAAACUUCCCGUUGGUUCCAUUUAACUAGAAAUAAUUUUCUAAGUGAUCAAAUAAUUGACCAUAAUUUUCCAGAAAUUUUAAAAUAGCUAAGAAAGCUCAUAAAUGAAUUUAUGGAAAUAAAUAAAACAUUAAAUGGCGGGCUUAAAUAUAAUAAUGCGGCCAAUCAUUUCCUUAGCCGGCCCAUAAAAAAGGCUAAAAUCAGGAUAAAAUUUAGCUAAUAAAGAUAUAACACAUUAUGAGAAAUUAAAUUCGUGGGCUUAAUAAAUUAAAAAUAAAGGCCCACUCUUAUCGAAAAUCCGGCCCAAAACGGACCGGCCCAUUAUGUGCACGUGCGGCGCUUAGGCGGACGCGGCCCAUAUCGGCGCGGCCUAUGAAGGCGACGUCCCGACGCGGGGUCGAUCUUUGCUGUCCGAUCCGAUGGACGGCUCGGAUUGAUCCUGCGGCGAUGAAAUCGCCAGCCGGUGGGGGGAAAGGGUUUCCAACCCUAACCCUAAUCUCUUCCCUCUCUUUGACGGCUCUCUCACCCGGGCGAGUGAGCGAGCGGCGACAAUGGCGACAAGCACCGCAACGGCUCCAUCUCGGCCGGCUGGGGGCGUGCCUGAAGGGCAGCGCCAAGCCGUGUGCAAUGGCGUCGGCGGUCCGGUGUCACACCCCGAAGUUCUCCUCCCAAGCCUAAAUUUAAUUUAUAAAUGACCCUAAGAAAAUACCGGUGCAAAGCAAGAGUAAACCCUUUUAAAUCAAUGCAAUUAAUAAUCGGAAUUGGCAUGUGGAAUUUUUCUUGAGUUCUACAUGUCGAAAUUCACUGACAGGAUUUUUAGUGGAAUUUUCAGAGCCCUAGAAAUAAUUUUAACCAAUUAAAAUUGAGCAAGCAAUAUUUUAAUUCUGGGGAAAAUCCUUUUUCCUUUUUCUUUUUCUUUUUCCUCCCUUUUUUCGAAUGGGCCGCUGGCCCAUUCUCUCCUUUCCUCCCCCUCCUCCCUGCUGGGCUGGCCGCAGGCCGAGGCCCAGCCAAGCCGCUCCUCCCUCCUCUCCCGGGGUCGCCGACAGGUGGGGCCCACCUGUCGGGUCCUCCCCCAACCCCGCCGCGCGCGCCCUCCUCCUCGUGGGCCGGCCCAAGCCGCCCUCCCUCUCUCCCCGGGACGCCGACAGGUGGGCCCCACCUGUCGGAUCUGUCCCCUUCCUCCAGCCGGCGCCGCCGCGCCGCAACCGCCGCCGCGCCCACGCCUCCGCCUUCUCCGGGCCACGUCAGCCACGUCCGCGCGUGCGCCGCAUCUCCCGCGCCCACUCCCCUCUCUCUCCCGCUCGUGCUCGCGCCCGAGAUGGCCGGGAUUCGAUUUUCGAAUCCCGCCUCUCUCUCCUCCCCCACUCCCCUACGUUGGCCGGUGGAAUCCCGCCUCUCCCGGCCACGUCCGGCCCUCCCCUUCCCUAUUUAAGCUUCUCCGUCGCCCUCUCUCGCUUUUUCCCCAUUUCGCCGAACUCUCCCGAGCCUCCCAUCGCUUCCGCGCCGUGCAACCACCCGCCGCCGCCGUUUCCGAUACUCCGGCCGCCACUAGCCGCCGCUAGGCUCGUCGCCGCACCGCGCUGUCGCCGCCGUCGGGUUCGCGUGGCCGAGAUCCACCCCGUCCACCCCUCCUUCGUCGAGGUCCGCCGCCGGAGCGCCAUUCCCAUCGUGCGACGGUCGUCCCGGUCGCCGUCCGCCGCGUGUCGACCUCCCUCCGUCGCUCCCCGUCGCCGGACGCCGCCGUCCCCUCCGAUUCCGGUUCCUCCGACGCUCCGGUGUACUUCGAAAUAGUCGCCGAGGUUCCUCCAGCAGCAGAGCAAGGCAAGUCAUGCUUGUCACUUGAACAUGUUGAUCCUAUAUUGCAAAUGCUCUAUUGUUUUCCUUCAAAUACUGCAUCGUUUUAUAAUGUUACUAUGGGAUGUUUACCUAUUGUCAUAGCCAUGCUAUUGUUGUACCAUGUUUCUUUGUCAACUUGGGGUUAUAACCUGAUUAGAGUUUGGACUAGGAAUUGCUUAGCCAUGCUUAGUUCAACUAGUUCACAAUGGGGAAAAUCAUAUUAAUGUUUAGACUGUUGGUUCUAAUGGUUUUGUUGGUUUAGUAACACCGCUUUGGUGUUGGUUAAUUAAAAUAAAUCACAUGGUGGGCCGUGGGUGCAUGGUUUUGCUGGUCGCACCCAUGGCAGUUAAGGACCGGUUCGCGGGAUGCCCUGGAAGAACUUAUCGUACUUACCACAAGCCAGCGUGGGCAACGGCUGGGCUUGUAACGUAGCUUUCCUCUAGCCGACGCAUCCAGGCAAGGGUGGGCGUGAUGGAGUUUGGAUGGGCCCUGCGACGGCCUAUGCGGCUUCCGGAUUCACCUAGGCACGAGAGGGGACUGCCCGUUGCCUUGCGAGGAGUGGGGGUGAAACCUGAGGUGUGGUGUGCUUGGUUAGAGGGGGUUAUGCGAAUGGUCCUGUCACAGCCUCUUUCCGGUAUGUCGUGGUGGCAUGUCGGCGCACGGAAACGUGUUGUGGGGCUGUGUCUUGUGGGUACAGUUGUAAUUAAUUAUUACAACUGUUUAAAUCUUUCAACUUCUGUUCUUAAAUGCUCGCUUUAUGCAAAUGAACCACUUUAGCUCUUCUUUGAUGAUUCCCUGCAUCAUGCUCUGUUCUUAAAUGCUCGCUUUAUGCAAAUGAACCACUUUAGCUCUUCUUUGAUGAUUCCCUGCAUCAUGCCUCUAUUCCGGCAUGACUUGCUGAGUACAGUGGGUAGUACUCAGUCUUGCUCUACUUUUCCCAACCCCCAGAGUGCGAGUAUAUGUCGGAUGAAGGUUUCUCCGAGGAGUAGGCUUCGUCCGUGCCGUCGAGGAUGCCUGUGGAGUGGUGUUCCCGCUGCAGUUCUAGUCAAGGCUUAGCUCCUGUUGUCUUUCUUUCUUUCCCGCUGCAGUUCUAGUCAAGGCUUAGCUCCUGUUGUCUUUCUUUCUUUCCGCUGCAUUUAUGUAAAGACUUUUAUGAUGUUUGUAAGACUUGGAAUUCUAUUCGGGAAUUUCUGGGCGUGACAAGGUGUCCCGCCUUCCCCCAGGCCGGGACCGCUUACAUCUGAUAGCUUUCAUAGGUCAUAGACUGCCCUCACAGGGCAACACAUAUCUUUUCUGCACACUUUGUCCUCACUCGUGUGCACCCGGGAAGAAUUUCCCGGUCGGUCACCCAUCCCAAAUUGCUCCAGGCCAAGCACGCUUAACCCUGGAGUUCUUUGGAGAUUGGCUUCCGGAAAAGAAGUUGCAACUUGUUGAUAUGAGUAUUCUAUUAAUCCUAUUAAGCCCUAGGCCGGGAUGUUACACCCUCACCCCCUUAAGAGAGAUCGACGCCCCCGUCGAUCAACCCCAGGCCAGGAACGUCCUCUCUUGGUCACGUCCAUGUGUCCAGUGCCAACGCAUGUGCCAUGCUAUGUAACCACUCCCGGUCUACACCAGCCAUGCGCACCAUGCCUGCGCAAUUGCGACACGCGCCCGUGAAACCGCGAGAGUCGGCUCUGAUACCAUUUUGUAACGUCCCGCCUCCCCCCAGGCCGGACCCGCUUACAUCUGAUAGCUUUCAUAGGUCAUAGACUGCCCUCACAGACCAACACAUAUCCGUGAAACCGCGAGAGUCGGCUCUGAUACCAUUUUGUAACGUCCCGCCUUCCCCCAGGCCGGGCCCGCUUACAUCUGAUAGCUUUCAUAGGUCAUAGACUGCCCUCACAGACCAACACAUAUCUUUUCUGCACACUUUGUCCUCACUCGUGUGCACCCGGAAAGAAUUUCCCGGUCGGUCACCCAUCCCAAAUUGCUCCAGGCCAAGCACGCUUAACCCUGGAGUUCUUCGGAGAUUGGCUUCCGGAAAAAGCUUCCGGAAAAGAAGUUGCAACUUGUUGAUAUGAGUAUUCUAUUAAUCCUAUUAAGCCCUAGGCCGGGAUGUUACAUCCGGCGAGGCGGCGCGGAGGCGACGGUGAACGUCGACGCGGCCGGAGCUCGUCGGCGGGGAGGGGAGGGGGCGGAGUCCGAAGGCAGCCGCCAAGCCGGCGCUUCCCGUCCCUGGCGAGGGACGGUGGAGGGACACUCCAAGACGGCGCGCGCACGGGAAGACCGACGCGGCCGCAAGGAGGUGAAGUGGCGGCGAUGCUGCUUCCGGUUUAGGGGGCUUCAAAAUCCGGUAUGUCACCAAACCCGAGCCUAAUUUUCUUCCAUUUGGAUUUAAUUCGGACUUUGUGACUUAGGGUUCUUCCCCAAAGAAUUAGGGUUCUUCAUUUGGGGAUUUUAGGCCGAUUGGAUCCGGCUUAUGGGGAUUUCGGGAAAUUUCAAUCUUGUUUAUUCCCAUAUGAUUAACCGUGGGGAGUUUCAAUCUUGUUUAUCCCCUAAUUCUUGUUUGCUGAGUACUAGCCGAAACCUUAGUUUCGGUCUAGGAAUUUUGAGUGCGGGAAUUGGGAAUUUCCCUUUGCUAAAUUUAGGGGAAUUUCAAUCUAGUUUAUCCCCUUCUUAGCUUCGGCUUAGGGUUCUGAGUGCGAGGAAAUUGGGAGUUUCAAUAUGUUUAUCCCAAUCCCUUUUCUUCUCUUAAUCUCCACUGAUGGAUAAUCAAAAUCGAAAACUUGAAUUAAACAGCUUCUUCAAUAAUUUGCUUCUCCUACUGAUGGCCGAAACCACCAGUAUAAAAGGGCUUAAUACUUAAAGAAAUUAAUCCAAUCUAAUUCAAAAUUGCUCAUGCCGAAUCAAUCUUGUAUUUUUAUAAGGAUGGCUUCUAAUCACAGGGAUGAUGUGAUUAUGAGGGAUUGAGUGGACUAAAAAUUAGGCUCUGAUACCACAAUGUUGGAGUUCUAAUUACAUGAUCUUAAGCUUUAGUCUAUAAACAAUCACCUCUUGCUUAUGCGGAAAAAUAAUUGAUCUACUUACCUGAGUUAGAAGCCAUUGCCGUUCUUCUUUCUUCUUCUUGCAGAGAUGCCUCACGAACCCCUUCCAGUGCCUAGAUCGAUCGGGCGAUUAAUUAGGGUUUGAGAUUAGAGAGAGAGAGAGUUUGGUCGUCUGUCUCCUUCCUUCUCUUUCUUUAUAUAGGCGACAUUGGUGAGGCUCGGGGGUUAUCUCAAUUAGUUUAGGAUUCUGUUUUCUGUACCGAUCACACAAAAAACGAAUUUAUCUCUUAGUUUGUUUCUUGUUAGGAUAAGGAAACCGGUGGUUUAGAUCCUCUCCUAACCCUUAUCGACACAAGUCGACAAAAUCAACCAACAUACAUAGGCA
rnacentral:lncRNA from 1 species